CAGCCGCCACGGGAAUACGGAGGGUGCAAGCGUUAAUCGGAAUUACUGGGCGUAAAGCGCACGCAGGCGGUCUGACAAGUCAGAUGUGAAAUCCCCGGGCUUAACCUGGGAACUGCAUUUGUGACUGUAUAGCUAGAGUACGGCAGAGGGGGAUGGAAUUACGCGUGUAGCAGUGAAAUGCGUAGAUAUGCGGAGGAACACCGAUGGCGAAGGCAAUCCCCUGGGCCUGUACUGACGCUCAUGCACGAAAGCGUGGGGAGCAAACAGGAUUAGAUACCCCAGUAGUCCCUGUCUCUUAUAC
rnacentral:rRNA from 1 species